rnacentral:lncRNA from 1 species
AAAAUAGCCUUGGAGUCCAACCACUGCCCUGUCACCCCCUGCGGCUUUUUCAAACUGAGAGUGAGUAGACUGUACUCUUCCUUCUUGUGCUUGGUGGAGAGAGGAGAGUAAGAAUAUUUACAUGAAAGGUUAACCAUUUCCCUGAGACCUUGAGAAGGGGAAGGGGAAGAGAGUCCCAGCAGUGAUGUUACUAGGGAAACCAGAAUGGAGGGUGCCAGUGAAUGUGGCACAAAGAGGGAGUGGGGACAAUGGUUUCGAAAUCUCUCCAU